AGGUCUCGCAGGUUUUGCUGCUGAGUUUUGAAGCGCCGCAGCUCGGAGAGCGCACCGCACCGCGCGCACUUCGAUGACAGCGAGAGGAAGAGAGAGCGAGCUGUCUGUGUGCGCGUCUGAAGAGCUGAGGACAAGAGUCUGAUCUGAGCCCCCCCGUGACAAGAAAUGAAGCUCCUGAUCUGGGUCCUGGCGGUGGUCCUGCUGCUGAGACCUGCGCACGGAG